AUGGAGAUAAUAGUGGUACUGACAGGUGAAUUUUUUACAAGCAAAACCCCAGCCCCUGACCUUACUUCCCUGCUUGUGCUUCUGCUGAGAUUCUUACCCUACCCCACAUUUGCUUUCUCUCUCCAGCCCAAUUCCUUUCUUGCCUGUGGUCAAGAGAACAGCCUGGCCAUAACAUCACAUAGCUCACAAUGGUGUCAGGCUGGCAUACAUCACUGUCCACAGCUUUGCUGGUGGUAGUUCAACCAAGAAGUGCUCUAAGUCCAGAGGGAAUUCAGCCACAGAAUCCCAAGGAGUUCUGUUUUUGCAGUUCAAAACUGUGGCCAGUAGACCAAGUAGCUAAGGUGCGUGGACUAAGCCUGUACUCUCCAGGCUCUACUGAUGAACUGAUGGGUGUUGGCACUGAGCCACUGUCCAGGGAGAAGCGUGCAACAAGCUGGGCUGCUGGAACUGGUAGGUCUGAUUUACUCCCUGUUUACAGCAGCAAAAUCAAGUUGAGUGAGACUGGUUCAGCCUUACAGUUUGUUUGCUGAAUUCUCGCCCAACUAGAAUCAUGUGCCUGUCAUAUUUGCUCAGCUCU
rnacentral:lncRNA from 1 species